GACCAGAGUUUUCCCGUGAGUCUAGUUACUAGGCAGUGUAGUUAGCUGAUUGCUGAUAGUACCAAUCACUAACCACACGGCCAGGUAAAAAGAUUUGAGUGUUCAUCCAGAUGUG
rnacentral:pre_miRNA from 14 species